UACGGAAGGCAGCAGUGGGGAAUAUUGCACAAUGGGCGAAAGCCUGAUGCAGCUAUGCCGCGUGUAUGAAGAAGGCCUUAGGGUUGUAAAGUACUUUCAUCGGGGAGGAAAAAACAAAACUAAUAAUUUUAUUUCUUGACGUUACCCGAAAAAGAAGCACCGGCUAACUCCGUGCCAGCAGCCGCGGUAAUACGGAGGGUGCUAGCGUUAAUCAGAAUUACUGGGCGUAAAGAGCACGUAGGUGGUUUUUUAAGUCAGAUGUGAAAUCCCUGGGCUUAACCUAGGAACUGCAUUUUGAAACUGAAAUACUAGAGUAUCGUAGAGGGAGGUAGAAUUCUAGGUGUAGCGGUGAAAUGCGUAGAUAUCUGGAGGAAUACCUGUGGCGAAAGCGGCCUCCUAAACGAAUACUGACACUGAGGUGCGAAAGCGUGGGGAGCAAAACGAGGAUUAGAUACC
rnacentral:rRNA from 1 species